GAUGAACGCUGGCGGCGUGCCUAAUACAUGCAAGUCGAGCGAAUGGAUUGAGAGCUUGCUCUUAUGAAGUUAGCGGCGGACGGGUGAGUAACACGUGGGUAACCUGCCCAUAAGACUGGGAUAACUCCGGGAAACCGGGGCUAAUACCGGAUAACAUUUUGAACCGCAUGGUGCGAAAUUGAAAGGCGGCGUCGGCUGUCCCUUAUGGAUGGACCCGCGUCGCAUUAGCUAGUUGGUGAGGUAACGGCUCACCAAGGCAACGAUGCGUAGCCGGCCUGAGAGGGUGAUCGGCCACACUGGGACUGAGACACGGCCCAGACUCCUACGGGAGGCAGCAGUAGGGAAUCUUCCGCAAUGGACGAAAGUCUGACGGAGCAACGCCGCGUGAGUGAUGAAGGCUUUCGGGUCGUAAAACUCUGUUGUUAGGGAAGAACAAGUGCUAGUUGAAUAAGCUGGCACCUUGACGGUACCUAACCAGAAAGCCACGGCUAACUACGUGCCAGCCGCCGCCGUAA
rnacentral:rRNA from 1 species